GGAGGGGGCGCCGGUUGCUCCGCGCUCCAGUCGGAGGGACGCUCGGAGGCCAGCAGGACGGUGGGACCGGCCGAGGCUGCGGCGCGCAGAGACUUGGUGGCUCUGGGCCUCAUGACCCCCCCGUUCGCCAGGGACCAGAGAAUGGAGAAGGGUCGGCCUCCGACUGCCCUCGGGGAUCCCUGGAGCCCCCUGGCCCCGGCUGACCUCAGCCGCCGAGCGUCUUGGGCCAUGAUCCACGGCCUGGGCAGACAGCCCCUCGUGGAGCCGGGCCGGGAUAGCCCGGAGAAAGAUCGGGCGAGGCGCUGAGCCAGCCACCGAGAGGCAAGGGGAGCCAAAGGGGACUUGCCGCAGCCGCGGGCUCGAACCUUAGCUGGCCCCACGGACCUUGGCGGGCGCCCAUCCCCCGCCCUGCGGCCCGAGGCUCAGCCGGGAGUCGGGCAGGAGGCUCGGACUCUGAAGCCCAAUUCAUGGCCGGAAACCGGCGCAUCCGUGACCGCGGCGCCUGGACGUGAGGAGCCUUUCAAGCGGCCGGCGUACUCAGACUCCGACUCUGCACGGAGCCUUUACGCGCGAGCCCGGGCGAAGAGCCCGCUCCUCGCGGCCAGCGCAGAGCCGGGUCGCUCCACCGCUCGCGGAAUGCCUCCGGCUACCACCAGAUAGAGCGUUAUGCCGCUUGGGCUCCAGCCUGGGAGGGGGUGGCAAGCCUGACGCUGGCCACCCUCCCCCCCGCCUCCGCCCCCAAACAAGUUCCAGACAGACUGAGCUCCACGUGGCACACCCAAGAUUUCAGGGAGACAGCUGAGCCUUCACGGACCCGGCUUCGGGAGGAAGCUCGGUCUGGGCGCGCCUGGCAGAGCCUAGAGCACUGGGCCACUUCUGCGGGCCCGGGAGCGCCCAUUGGCCCUGUCGUUGGCCUAGCCCCAAGAUCCCUGCCUUGCAGGGCCAUGCGCAGGGCGUGAGGAAUUCAGAGACUCAGCAACAGACCUUCCUGGAACUCCCCGCUCAAAGGAGGGACAGACACCUAAAUAGAUCAUUGUAAGAUGCGGCAAGAACCCUGAAUAAGCUAUGUAUGCAAAGGCGCAUUCUGGGCUGUGACCCAGCCUGAGAGGAAAAGCCAGGGGAUGGCUUCCUGGAGGAGGUGACAGUUUUAAAGGUUGAGUGGGGUUACCAAGGGAGAAGGAAGGGAGGCUUCCAGGCAUUGAAUGCUGGUUAGCGAGCCAAGUUAAAAGAAAAAGAAUUUAGUGUGUGUGUGUGGGGGGGGGGGGGGGUGUCCCAAGCUGCCUGCCACAGAAGCUGGCAGGGUGACUUCCAAGAUGAGGAGACCAUGGGCAAGAGGGAAGUAAUGGCCAUGCCUGCAGGACGCUGGGCUGUCCAGCUGGGUGGGGUGCCCACAAGGUACUUCCUCAAGAAAUCCGUCUUGGGCUGGGGGUGGGGGGC
ensembl:lncRNA